rnacentral:lncRNA from 1 species
GAGUUGGUUUCCUGGGCCUAUGUGCUCUCAGAGUCCUUUCCUUUUCUUAGCUUGCCCAGUGGUGCUGACACCUGCAGGCUGCAUCUCUCAAACUCCCCAUCAGUUGGUUUCUGGCAGGUUUGACCAGGAGAAACCACUGAUCAGACAUAAGCAGGAGGAAACCAGAGAAACCAGAGUAUUUCCAUCCUUCCUCUUCGCCUUGGGCAGGAACUCCAUUAGCAGCUUGUCUUCUCCCUUGUUCUAACUCUCCUAUGCAGGCUCACUGUGGUUCCAGCUCCCAUAAAGGAAUCUCUCAGUCCCUGGCUCUGGCCACACCACUGUGGUAGAUGUGAGGUACUCAGGUCCUCUUUAAGGAAGGACUUGCUGCCCAACGGCAGGUGCUGCAGCCAGCAUCCAGCUGUCAGCCCCUACAGGGUCAGCCUUACUUGCAGAGAACCACCUUGCUCGAGGUCAUGCCCUUCCUGAAGCAGCUGGCAUCCGAUGUUGACCCCUCAUGAACACCUUGCACUCCAGUAUAUUUCUAAGUGCUUCUGAGAGCCCGGCCUGCAACACCACUUCUCCCCUCUGCCUCCAGCCUAGAGAUGGGAAUGGCUUCCUGCUGGUGCUAAUCUCUAGGUGGCCUCACCAUGUCCCAUUUGGACACUCUGCUCUUGCAUCAUCCAUGUAAUCAAUUAACUGCAUUAAAUCCCCAUCUCUUUAAAUAAAGUAGGUUCUGACACAGCCAACAUUAUACUGAAUGGGGAAAAGUUGAAAGCGUUCCUCCUGAGAACUGGAACAAGACAAGGAUGUUCACUUUCACCACUUCUAUUCAACAUAGUACUGGAAGUCCUAGCCAGAGCAAUCAGACAAGAGAAGGCAAUAAAGGACAUCCAAAAAAGUAAAGAGGAAGUCAAACUGUCACUGUUUGCUGAUGAUAUGAUUGUAUACCUAGAAAACCCUAAGAACUUAUCCAAAAAGCUCCUAGAACUGAUUAAUGAAUUCAGUAAAGUUUCAGGAUACAGAAUUAAUGUACACAAGUCAGUAGCACUGCUGUACACCAACAGUAACCAAGCUGAGAAUCAAAUCAAGAACUCAGCCUCUUUUACAAUAGCUGCAAAAAAUAAAAUAAAA